rnacentral:rRNA from 1 species
UACGAAGGGGGCUAGCGUUGCUCGGAAUCACUGGGCGUAAAGGGUGCGUAGGCGGGUUUUUAAGUCAGGGGUGAAAUCCUGGAGCUCAACUCCAGAACUGCCUUUGAUACUGAAGAUCUUGAGUUCGGGAGAGGUGAGUGGAACUGCGAGUGUAGAGGUGAAAUUCGUAGAUAUUCGGCGGAACACCAGUGGCGAAGGCGACUCACUGGCCCGAUACUGACGCUGAGGCGCGAAAGCGUGGGGAGCAAACAGG